rnacentral:rRNA from 1 species
AAGGUGUGAGGAAGGUGGGGAUGACGUCAAAUCAGCACGGCCCUUACGUCCGGGGCUACACACGUGUUACAAUGGGGGGUACAGAGAGUCAGCGGCCGGCAACGUCCGCUUAAUCAUGAAAGCCCUCCUCAGUUCGGAUUGGGGUCUGCAACCCGACCCCAUGAAGCUGGAUUCGCUAGUAAUCGCGCAUCAGCCAUGGCGCGGUGAAUACGUUCCCGGGCCUUGUACACACCGCCCGUCAAGCCAUGAAAGCCGGGGGCGCCUGAAGUCCGUGACCGCGAGGGUCGGCCUAGGGUGAAACCGGUGAUUGGGGCUAAGUCGUAACAAGGUAGCCGUACCGGAAGGUGCGGCUGGAACACCUCCUU